AUUGAACGCUGGCGGCAGGCCUAACACAUGCAAGUCGAACGAGUGGCGAACGGGUGAGUAAUGUCUGGGAAACUGCCUGAUGGAGGGGGAUAACUACUGGAAACGGUAGCUAAUACCGCAUACCAUCAGAUGUGCCCCGAUUGGAGUAGCUUUUUGGUGGGGUAACGGCUCACCAAGGCGACGAUCCCUAGAUGGUCUGAGAGGAUGACCAGCACAACUGGAACUGAGACACGGUCCAGAAUCCUAAGGGAGGCAGGAGUGGGGAAUAUUGCACAAUGGGCGAAAGCCUGAUGCAGCAAUGCCGCGGGUAUGAAGAAGGCCUUCGGGUUGUAAAGUACUUUCAGCGGGGAGGCGUUACCCGCAGAAGAAGCACCGGCUAACUCCGUGCCAGCAGCCGCGGUAAUAC
rnacentral:rRNA from 1 species